rnacentral:lncRNA from 1 species
UCCCCCACCGGUGGGAGACUGGCUCAGCUCCCAGGGCAGUGGGUGAGGUGCAGGUGGCGCAGCACUCGGGCCAACCCGGCACAAAUGAACCUGACGCUCCUAGGGCCGGCCCUGCGUGUACCAGCUGCGCUGUCGGCCAGCUGCUCCUGCUGCCGCCUCUUGCGCCUCCCCACUGCAGCCCACAUGAUAGCAGCGGCCCCUCCGGAUGGCCUGCCGCUGCCAUCAGCAAGGCUACCAUAAGCCAUGAAUCAAUGACCAGUAUGGUGUCAUUUCUCACAAGCCAGAAUAGAUGGGUCCAGAAAUCAUCAAAGGGUAAGAAGUAGAAUUAACUUCUUUCAAUAUCAUACCCACUCAGAUUAUUUGAUGCCUGUUCCCCCCAGUUUUGA